UACGUAGGGACCAAGCGUUGUUCGGAUUUACUGGGCGUAAAGGGCGCGUAGGCGGCAUGACAAGUCACUUGUGAAAUCUCCGGGCUUAACUCGGAACGGCCAAGUGAUACUGUCGCGCUAGAGUGCAGAAAGGGCAAUCGGAAUUCUUGGUGUAGCGGUGAAAUGCGUAGAUAUCAAGAGGAACACCUGAGGCGAAGGCGGGUUGCUAGGCUGACACUGACGCUGGAAGCGCGAAAGCUAGGGGAGCAAACAGG
rnacentral:rRNA from 1 species